UAGGGAAUCUUCGGCAAUGGACGAAAGUCUGACCGAGCAACGCCGCGUGAGUGAAGAAGGUUUUCGGAUCGUAAAACUCUGUUGGUAGAGAAGAACGUUGGUGAGAGUGGAAAGCUCAUCAAGUGACGGUAACUACCCAGAAAGGGACGGCUAACUACGUGCCAGCAGCCGCGGUAAUACGUAGGUCCCGAGCGUUGUCCGGAUUUAUUGGGCGUAAAGCGAGCGCAGGUGGUUUAUUAAGUCUGGUGUAAAAGGCAGUGGCUCAACCAUUGUAUGCAUUGGAAACUGGUAGACUUGAGUGCAGGAGAGGAGAGUGGAAUUCCAUGUGUAGCGGUGAAAUGCGUAGAUAUAUGGAGGAACACCGGUGGCGAAAAGCGGCUCUCUGGCCUGUAACUGACACUGAGGCUCGAAAGCGUGGGGAGCAAACAGGAUUAGAUAGCCCUGGUAGUCCACGCGUAAACGAUGAGUGCUAGAUGUAGGGAGCUAUAAGUUCUCUGUAUCGCAGCUAACGCAAUAAGCACUCCGCCUGGGGAGUACGACCGCAAGGUUGAAAC
rnacentral:rRNA from 1 species